rnacentral:misc_RNA from 1 species
CACACACACCUACACAUACGCUCUCCCUCACUCUUGUCCGCCUACCUCAUAAUUCACCCACUCCCUGCCCCCGUUGCCCUGUCUUCAUCACCGGCUUUCCUUCUCUUCCGCACGCAGCCUUUCAUCCUCCAUCCCCCUCUUUCUUGUUUUACCAGAAGCACCACUUUUCCGCCCACCGCCCUCCUUCCACCUCAAACCAUGGAGACGGCGAAACUGAGCGUGGAGGCGAGCACAAGGUACCUGAUGGCGCUCGGGUAUCGUGUGUCUGCGCCGCUCAACGCCGACGGCUCGAGCACUGCCAACGUUGGAGAGACAGAGCACUCGCUGUGCAGGGGCUUCACCGGGGCCUACUCACUUGGCCUGCAUGUCGGCGCGCUGUUCCUGAUUCUCUUCGUGUCGCUCCUCGGCACUGCGAUUCCGAUUCUCGGCAAGUGCAUCCCUUCUCUCGUGAGAUACCCGUAUGUGUUCUCCGUGGCGAAGUCCGCUGCAACGGGCGUGCUGCUGUCUGUGUCGACGAUUCACCUGAUCUUCGAGGGCGCCGAGGCUUUCUCGGAGGAUUGCAUCCCCGCCGUGCUGAAGAGUUACGGGCCGCUGUACUUCUUGCUUGCCCUGAUUGCUGUGCUGCUGAUGCAGGCGCUGGACAUGCAGCUGGCGGACAUCGCUGAGCGCUGGAUGAAGGCCAAGCUGAAGAGAGAGGCAGAGGCGGCCAAGGCGGAAAGCAAGGGCGACGGCGAGUGCUGCGGGCUCUCCCCUGAUGUGGACGCCGGCGUCACCUCGGGCCUAGCACCGGCGGAUGGGCCUUUGACCGAUGAACGUAAGAGCACGAGUUUGAAGAGCGGUGCACAGACGACGGUGCCCGUCGCUGCGUUGGAUGAUUGUGAGGUGCCGCUGGUGGCGCUGUCGCCGGAGCACCCGGUGCAACACCAUCACUGCGAUGAGCCCGCUGCUCACGGGCACCAACAUCUGUCAGUGGCGCCACCACGGGACAUGGGUUACCUCCGCUGCGUGAUCUCCGCCGUGUGCAUGGAGUUCGGUGUGACGCUGCACAGCGUGUUUGUGGGCCUGGAUGUCGGGCUCAAGAAAGACAGUGAGCUGAAGCCGCUGCUUGUGGCGCUUGUGUUCCACCAGCUGUUCGAGGGCAUGGCGGUUGGGUCGCGUCUCGUGGACGCCAAGUUUUCGGCCACCCUGGAUGUUGUUCUUGCCCUUGUGUUCUCCCUCAGCGCGCCAGCUGGCAUGGCAGCGGCCGCGAUUGCCGUGUCCGUGUCGCCGUCUGCGAUGUCCGGCAGCGGCUUCGCCACUGUUGUUGCUGUACUGGACACGCUGUGCGGCGGCAUCCUGCUGUACCUCGCCUUCACGCUGCUGCUUGGUGACUUUGUGGCGGAUGUGAAGCACUACUGCUGCGAUGGGCAGGGGCACCGCACGGUGAAGAAGAUCAUGCUGUUUGUGUCUCUGUGGGUGGGUAUGGGGCUGAUGGCGCUUGUGGGCAACUGGCUGUAGGCGCCGCUGCCCGUCGGAUCAGAGUAUCGCUGUGUGCCUGCUGUUUUCUUCAGCCUCUGCGUCGCGUGCUCAUUGGUGAGUGCGUGACACUCGACAACGACAGCAGCCCUUUGCUUCUGCCCUCUGUGUUGGUUGGCGCGUGUUUCUCAGGGCUUGUGUCUGACGUGAUGUUGAUUGACGACAUUGCCGCUGGCGUGACCGAGAGGCCCGAAAGCGGAGAAGGCUUACUCCCCCAUAGCUUACGUAGCCCAACCCCUUCAGGGGACAGCAGCUAGAGAACAUCAGUUUUGGAUGCGCAGUCCACUUCACUGACUCUUCCUGUUUUUCUGUAAGUGCGUAUUCGAUCUCUUCUUCUUCCUGCCUCCCCCGUUGCAGGUCCUUGGUGUGCUCUCGAUCCCGUUCCUCUCUUCUGCUUGGCAGGCACCGACACAGACGCACAUCUGCCAGUCUGCUGUCCGGCAAGUGUGCGCCUGUCGUGCAUUUCCUGGAGGUCGCAGUCGUUAGUGCUAAAGGUAGUGGGGCCAUGGGCUGGCGGUGAGGGAGGAAGGGCUGAGGUGUUUUCGCCUUUUCAUUCGAUUGUGUGUCUUCGAUGUCAAUGAGAGCGCAUGUGCUCCGUUAAUCUUUUUGUUUUCCGGUCCCUUUUUGGUGUGUAUGUGCUUGGCAUGAGAGGUACGAGCCCCCUGCAGCAUGCUCUACGCGGUCUGCGAUGUUCGCUGUUGUAUGUUUCCGAUCACUGUUCUGCGUGUGUGCGUGUGUGUUACUCACGCACUCACGGGAAAUGCGUAUACACACACACGGCGUGUCCCGCACCCACGUACGCGGACGCUCCGGGAGCCUGUGCGCGAAGGCACAACAACAAAUCGCCACCUCCGUUUCGUUGUUUCUUCUUUUGCUUUGCCUUUUCUCUUCAUUGGGUGAUGCAGCGAAACGAGAGGCGUGGCUCUAGACUCCGUGUGCUAGCGUGUGCGUGUGUCUCUAUAUGCGCGCAUGUGAGGAAGAGAGAAGGACGGUGUCUCUGCCCGAUUCGUCCGUUUCGUGUGUGUUCCCCUCUACCCUCCGCCUUCCCCCCUCGUUUUCUUAGCCUGUGUCGUGGUGCCCUUGUUUCCUUCCGUAUCGCUCGCGUAUUGUGUGUCACCCUCCCCCUAUUUGUCUCUUGUCACUCGAUUCAGUCUAACAACUUUUCUACAAAGAUGAACAACUUGUGUGUCUUUUCCUCCGCACCCUUUCCACGCGUGUGUGUCAGAGGUGCUCGCCGCCAUCCACUGCGGGGACACGAGGACGAUGAAUACGAGAGAAAAGGCUGCAACGAAGAAGUGCUUGCAUUCUGUAAAACGAGCGUCUCCAUAACGGACAAUUGUACCGUGUGUGGGUGUGACCUCCUUCUAUGCAACUGCCCCCGCCUCCCCCGCCUACUUCUGUUUGUGUGCAUCUUCGUGAUUUCCCUCCCCAUCCUCAGACCAGCUUCGAAGGUGGACCGGAUCGUGCAGCACGCACGUUCGGCCGACUUUGGAUGCAGGCAUUCGAGGCAGCGUC